UAGGGAAUCUUCCACAAUGGACGCAAGUCUGAUGGAGCAACGCCGCGUGAGUGAAGAAGGUUUUCGGACCGUAAAGCUCGUUGUUGGUGAAGAAGGAUAGAGGUAGUAACUGGCCUUUAUUUGACGGUAAUCAACCAGAAAGUCACGGCUAACUACGUGCCAGCAGCCGCGGUAAUACGUAGGUGGCAAGCGUUGUCCGGAUUUAUUGGGCGUAAAGCGAGCGCAGGCGGAAGAAUAAGUCUGAUGUGAAAGCCCUCGGCUUAACCGAGGAAUUGCAUCGGAAACUGUUUUUCUUGAGUGCAGAAGAGGAGGGUAGAACUCCAUGUGUAGCGGUGGAAUGCGUAGAUAUAUGGAAGAAUACCAGUGGCGAAGGCGGCUCUCUGGUCUGCAACUGACGCUGAGGCUCGAAAGCAUGGGUAGCGAACAGGAUUAGAUACCCUGGUAGUCCAUGCCGUAAACGAUGAGUGCUAAGUGUUGGGAGGCUUCCGCCUCUCAGUGCUGCAGCUAACGCAUUAAGCACUCCGCCUGGGGGAGUACGACCGCAAGGUUGAAAC
rnacentral:rRNA from 1 species